rnacentral:rRNA from 1 species
AUCCUGGCUCAGAUUGAACGCUGGCGGCAUAGCUAAAACAUGCAAGUUGAGCGAAGCAGUAGCAAUACUGACUGAGCGGCGUAAGGGUGAGGAAUACAUUUCUAUGUACCCCAAGGUCGAGGAUAGCCAAGAGAAAUCUUGGGUAAUACUCGAUGUGGUCGUAAGAUCAAAGGUUUACCGCCUUGGGAGCGGGGAAUGUCCUAUCAGGUAGUUGGUGGGGCUACGGCUCACCAAGCCAAAGACGGGUAGCAGGCGUGAGAGCACGGCCUGCCACAUCGAAACUGAGACACUGUUCGGACUCCUACGGGAGGCUGCAGUAACGAAUCUUCCGCAAUGCGCGAAAGCGUGACGGGGUAAUGCCGCGUGCAGGAUGAAGCCCUUCGGGGUGUAAACUGCUGUCAGGGGCUAGGAAUUUCAUGACCAGCCCCAAAGGAAGAGCCGGCUAACUCUGUGCCAGCAGCCGCGGUAAUACAGAGGGCUCGAGCGUUAAUCGGAAUCACUGGGCUUAAAGCGUGCGUAGGCGGAUCUUCAGGCUUGUUGUGAAAUCCCACGGCUCAACCGUGGAAUUGCGAUGAGAACCGGAGAUCUUGAGUCAGGUAGAGGCGGGUGGAACG